CAGUAGCCGCGGGAAUACGGAGGGAGCUAGCGUUGUUUGGAAUUACUGGGCGUAAAGCGCGCGUAGGCGGUUACUCAAGUCAGAGGUGAAAGCCCGGGGCUCAACCCCGGAACUGCCUUUGAAACUAGGUGACUAGAAUCUUGGAGAGGUCAGUGGAAUUCCGAGUGUAGAGGUGAAAUUCGUAGAUAUUCGGAAGAACACCAGUGGCGAAGGCGACUGACUGGACAAGUAUUGACGCUGAGGUGCGAAAGCGUGGGGAGCAAACAGGAUUAGAUACCCCCGUAGUCCCUGUCUCUUAUAC
rnacentral:rRNA from 1 species